rnacentral:rRNA from 1 species
UGGGGCUCUUUUGGGUCUCAUAAUUGGAAUGAGUACAAUUUAAAUCUCUUAACGAGGAACAAUUGGAGGGCAAGUCCGGUGCCAGCAGCCGCGGUAAUUCCAGCUCCAAUAGCGUAUAUUAAACUUGUUGCAGUUAAAAAGCUCGUAGUUGUAUUUCAGCCUCGCGUUUUUUCCCUCUUUUCGGGUCUUUUCGCUGGCUUUGUUUUUACUUUGAGAAAAUUAGAGUGUUUCAAGCAGACUUUUGUCUUGAAUACUUCAGCAUGGAAUAAUAGAGUAGGACCUUGGUUCUAUUUUGUUGGUUUCGAGCCUUGGUAAUGGUUAAUAGGAACGGUUGGGGGGAUUCGUAUUUAACUGUCAGAGGUGAAAUUCUUAGAUUUGUUAAAGACGAACCACUGCGAAAGCAUUUGCCAAGGACGUUUUCAUUAAUCAAGAAC